rnacentral:rRNA from 1 species
GACGAACGCUGGCGGCGUGCUUAACACAUGCAAGUCGAACGGAAAGGCCCUGCUUUUGUGGGGUGCUCGAGUGGCGAACGGGUGAGUAACACGUGAGUAACCUGCCCUUGACUUUGGGAUAACUUCAGGAAACUGGGGCUAAUACCGGAUAGGAGCUCCUGCUGCAUAGUGGGGGUUGGAAAGUUUCGGCGGUUGGGGAUGGACUCGCGGCUUAUCAGCUUGUUGGUGGGGUAGUGGCUUACCAAGGCUUUGACGGGUAGCCGGCCUGAGAGGGUGACCGGCCACAUUGGGACUGAGAUACGGCCCAGACUCCUACGGGAGGCAGCAGUGGGGAAUAUUGCACAAUGGGCGGAAGCCUGAUGCAGCAACGCCGCGUGCGGGAUGACGGCCUUCGGGUUGUAAACCGCUUUCGCCUGUGACGAAGCGUGGGUGACGGUAAUGGGUAAAGAAGCACCGGCUAACUACGUG